rnacentral:rRNA from 1 species
UAAAGUUCCCAUGGCAAACUGCUCAGUAACACAUGAUCAACUUACCCUAUAGAGAAAAAUAACCUCGGGAAACUGAGGAUAAUGUUUCAUAGUUGAAUUGGCUUGGAAAAGUUUUUCGACGAAAGGGGUAAAAAAAAUGGUUUUUAUCUGCUAUAGGAUAGGAUCGUGUUCGAUUAUGGUUGUUGGUGAGGUAAUGGCUCACCAAGCCGAUAAUCGAUAGGGGCCGUGAGAGCGGGAGCCCCGAGAUGGGUACUGAGACAACGACCCAGGCCUUACGAGGCGCAGCAGGCGCGAAACCUCCGCAAUACACGAAAGUGUGACGGGGUUACCCAAAGUGUUCAAUUUUGAACUGUGGUAGGUGAGUAAUGUUCCCUACUAGAAAGGAGAGGGCAAGGCUGGUGCCAGCCGCCGCGGUAAAACCAGCUCUUCAAGUGGUCGGGAUAAUUAUUGGGCUUAAAGUGUCCGUAGCCGGUUUAGUAAGUUCCUGGUAAAAUCGGGUAGCUUAACUAUCUAUAUGCUAGGAAUACUACUAUACUAGAGGGCGGGGGAGGUCUGAGGUACUGCAGGGGUAGGGGUGAAAUCUUAUAAUCCUUGUUGGACCACCAGUGGCGAAGGCGUCAGACUGGAACGCGCCUGACGGUGAGGGACGAAAGCCAGGGGAGCGAACCGGAUUAGAUACCCGGGUAGUCCUGGCCGUAAACGAUGCAUACUAGGUGAUGGCACGGCCAUGAGCCGUGUCAGUGCCGUAGGGAACCCGUUAAGUGUGCCGCCUGGGAAGUACGGUCGCAAGGCUAAAACUUAAAGGAAUUGGCGGGGGAGCACCACAAGGGGUGAAGCCUGCGGUUC